CAGAUGGUCCGAUGUUAGAAUUCUUAACGACGGCGCGAUAUCCUCUAUUAGGAUAAGUAAUGGUAGAAAUUCUAACAUCAGAUUUUAUCUACCUCUAAGGUUAACAUCAUAUAUAAUCCGUUGUUAGCCUUUUCAUCCAGUAAUAGAAAAAAUGCUCUACGUUCUUCACUCAUCAUUCUUUAUUCUUUAUUUUAUUUUGUUCUCUAAUCAUCUUCUUCUUUUCUUCUUCUUCUUCUUCUUCAUCCUUUUCAAUCAUCAUCUUCAUCUUCUUCUAUUUCUUCUUCAUCAUCUUCUUCACCUUUUUAUCUCAUUUUCUUCUUAAAAAAUCUUGAUCUUUUUUGUCUCCUUCAUCUU
rnacentral:lncRNA from 1 species